CUGCCAAGGGCAUAGCUGAGUAGCUACGUCGGGACCAGAUAAGCGCUGAAAGCAUCUAAGUGCGAAACUGACCUGAAGAUGAGUAUUCCAAAUAAGGGCCGUUGUAGAUGACAACGUUGAUAGGUUGCAGAUGUAUAGGUAGAGAUACCAGAGUCGAGCAAUACUAAUUACCCAAUAGCUUAUGAUAU
rnacentral:rRNA from 1 species